GACGUAGGAGGCGAGCGUUGUCCGGAUUCAUUGGGCGUAAAGAGCACGCAGGCGGUUUGGCAAGUCGGAUGUGAAAACCCGAAGCUCAACUUCGGGCCUGCAUCCGAAACUGCCCGACUAGAGGUAGGUAGGGGAGAUCGGAAUUCCUGGUGUAGCGGUGAAAUGCGCAGAUAUCAGGAGGAACACCGGUGGCGAGGGCGGGACUCUGGGCCGAGUGACUGACGCUGGAGGAGCGAAAGCGUGGGGAGCGAACAGGAA
rnacentral:rRNA from 1 species